rnacentral:rRNA from 1 species
CUUGACAUGUCAGGAAGCUCUUGUAACGAGAGCGUGCCCGCAAGGGAGCCUGAACACAGGUGCUGCAUGGCUGUCGUCAGCUCGUGUCGUGAGAUGUUGGGUUAAGUCCCGCAACGAGCGCAACCCUUGUCACUAGUUGCUACGAAAGGGCACUCUAGUGAGACUGCCGGUGACAAACCGGAGGAAGGUGGGGAUGACGUCAAGUCCUCAUGGCCCUUAUG